rnacentral:rRNA from 1 species
GAUGAACGCUAGCGGCAGGCUUAAUACAUGCAAGUCGAGGGGCAGCACAGGUAGCAAUACUGGGUGGCGACCGGCAAACGGGUGCGGAACACGUACACAACUUACCUUAGAGUGGGGGAUAGCCCAGGGAAACUUGGAUUAAUACCCCAUAAAACAGGGGGCCCGCAUGGGCAUAUUGUUAAAGAUUUAUAGCUUUAAGAUGGGUGUGCGUAUGAUUAGGUAGUUGGUAGGAUAAAGGCCUACCAAGCCGACGAUGAUUAACUGGUGUGAGGGCAAGACCAGUCACACGGGCAAUGAGACACGGGCCCGACUCCUACGGGAGGCAGCAGUAAGGAAUAUUGGUAAAUGGACGGAAGUCUGAACCAGCCAUGCCGCGUGAAGGAUGAAGGUCCUCUGGAUUGUAAACUUCUUUUAUAGGGGGCGAAAAAGGGCCAUUCUUGGUCAACUGACGGUACCCUAUGAAUAAGCACCGGCUAACUCCGUGCCAGCAGCCGCCGCAGUAA